ACGUAAGUUUACUGCAUACAAAAAGUCAUCAUUGACCGUAGACAGUCACACACAUCAUUCAUGGUUCCUGCCGAAAGGGUCUGUAUAGUUAUCAGAUUUUCUGUGUGAUGGCUCCAUACAAG
rnacentral:snoRNA from 1 species